rnacentral:rRNA from 1 species
UUAGCCCUACGGGAUGCAGCAGUGGGGAAUAUUGCACAAUGGGGGAAACCCUGAUGCAGCAACGCCGCGUGAGUGAUGACGGCCUUCGGGUUGUAAGGCUCUGUCUUCAGGGACGAUAAUGACGGUACCUGAGGAGGAAGCCACGGCUAACUACGUGCCAGCAGCCGCGGUAAUACGUAGGUGGCGAGCGUUGUCCGGAUUUACUGGGCGUAAAGGGAGCGUAGGCGGACUUUUAAGUGAGAUGUGAAAUACUCGGGCUCAACCUGAGUGCUGCAUUUCAAACUGGAAGUCUAGAGUGUAGGAGG